rnacentral:rRNA from 1 species
GAUGAACGCUGGCGGCGUGCCUAAUACAUGCAAGUAGAACGCUGAAGGAGGAGCUUGCUCUUCUGGAUGAGUUGCGAACGGGUGAGUAACGCGUAGGUAACCUGCCUGGUAGCGGGGGAUAACUAUUGGAAACGAUAGCUAAUACCGCAUGACAACAGUUAUUGCAUGAUAACUGUUUAAAAGGGGCAACUGCUCCACUACCAGAUGGACCUGCGUUGUAUUAGCUAGUUGGUGAGGUAACGGCUCACCAAGGCGACGAUACAUAGCCGACCUGAGAGGGUGAUCGGCCACACUGGGACUGAGACACGGCCCAGACUCCUACGGGAGGCAGCAGUAGGGAAACUUCGGCAAGGGACGGAAGUCUGACCGAGCAACGCCGCGUGAGUGAAGAAGGUUGUCGGAUCGGAAAGCUCUGUUGUAAGAGAAGAACGAGUGUGAGAGUGGAAAGUUCACACUGUGACGGUAUCUUACCAGAAAGGGACGGCUAACUACGUG